UAGCGAAACCGCCCCCCCAUGCGGGGCGGUCGUCCGGCGGUGGCGCGCCGGGCCUGACGAGCAGCCGAAC
rnacentral:hammerhead_ribozyme from 2 species